GGCGCGUUCGUCUAGUGGUCUAGGACGCUGGCCUCUCACGCCGGUAACAGGGGUUCGACUCCCCUACGCGCUA
rnacentral:tRNA from 2 species